rnacentral:lncRNA from 1 species
GUUGAUGCCAUAAUAAUGUUGAAGAGAGAUCUUAUUGAUCGCAUGGCUCAGUUAGAUGACCUAGAUUUUUGGACACAGCACAAACAAGAUCUAGUCGCCGACGGCAUAUUAAAUAAAGGGGCCGAGUUUACUAUGAAAACUCUCGACGAUUAUUCAGCAUCAUUGACCACCGAUGGCGGUGGGGGCUCUCAAGUUUUUCAAAAACUCCUUCAGAUAAGGAAAACGUUCGAAAGUAAGGGCACAUUUUAUUAAGGCCAUGAUUCUGUAUCAUGGAAUUCUUGAAAAGUACUCGUUUUCUAGGGUUAGGGAUCUCCCCGCGUAGAGGGAGUCAAAGUUGGUAGGUUGAAUUGCGUAGGGCUUGCUUUUGGAGAGAUAGACUUGGGCCGCAAGCUAUCCGUUCCCGAAAGCAAAAGUAGCUCGAGCCAAGCUCCAGGAUAAAGUCCGGAGGCUCCCUUAAAUGGUCGUCUAACGACCCAUGUACGAAGGCGGCCUGCCUGCCCGCUAACCGAACUGCGUAACCAAAGCCCCUGUUGGUGUAAGAUAGGUGUAGGUCCUUUUCGCCUAUGUCAGUUCGAACCUGACGGAUCGUUCGUUCGUGUGGAGAAUAUCUCAGGAUUUCUUGAUCUUCGAGGCAUAUGAAUAUGUCGAAGAAGGACCAUUUCCGCUCAUAGAACCUGAAAAAAAAUAGAACGUCAAGGACCAAGGGCGCGAUGUGAGAAGCGUAGGUCGGAGUAGCAGGAGUAUGCGACAAGCAGUUGCAUGCAUGUUCGGUGUGGGAGAUCUUCUGUAAC